rnacentral:misc_RNA from 1 species
CCAACUCCAAUCCCCAACACCCCAUAUGGUGUUCCUGGAGAGCCAUCACAUGCCACCCCAAAACAUCACAAAUCACCACCCUAGACCUCUCCCACCUCAAUCUCUCCGGCACUAUCUCCCCCCAAAUCCGCCACCUUUCCACCUUAAACCACCUUAACCUCAGUGGAAAUGACUUCACCGGGAGUUUCCAAUACGCCAUUUUCGAACUAACAGAACUGAGAACACUAGACAUCAGCCACAACUCCUUCAAUUCAACCUUUCCA